UACGUAGGUGACAAGCGUUGUCCGGAUUUACUGGGCGUAAAGAGCGCGCAGGCGGUCGUUCAAGUCGAGUGUGAAAGCCCCCCGGCUCAACUGGGGAGGGUCAUUCGAUACUGAUCGACUCGAAGGCAGGAGAGGGAAGUGGAAUUCCCGGUGUAGUGGUGAAAUGCGUAGAUAUCGGGAGGGAACACCAGUGGCGAAGGCGACUUCCUGGCCUGUUCUUUGACGCUGAGGCGCGAAAAGCUAGGGGGAGCAAACAGG
rnacentral:rRNA from 1 species